rnacentral:rRNA from 1 species
UACGUAGGGUGCAAGCGUUGUCCGGAAUUAUUGGGCGUAAAGAGCUCGUAGGCGGUGUGUCGCGUCGGCCGUGAAAACCUGCAGCUUAACUGUGGGCUUGCGGUCGAUACGGGCAUCACUGGAGUUCGGCAGGGGAGACUGGAAUUCCUGGUGUAGCGGUGAAAUGCGCAGAUAUCAGGAGGAACACCGGUGGCGAAGGCGGGUCUCUGGGCCGAUACUGACGCUGAGGAGCGAAAGCGUGGGGGAGCGAACAGG